rnacentral:rRNA from 1 species
UGACUGACCGAUAGUGAACCAGUACCGUGAGGGAAAGGCGAAAAGAACCCCGGCGAGGGGAGUGAAAAAGAACCUGAAACCGUGUACGUACAAGCAGUGGGAGCACCCUUUGGGGUGUGACUGCGUACCUUUUGUAUAAUGGGUCAGCGACUUAUAUUCUGUAGCAAGGUUAACCGAAUAGGGGAGCCGGAGGGAAACCGAGUCUUAAUUGGGCGUUAAGUUGCAGGGUAUAGACCCGAAACCCGGUGAUCUAGCCAUGGGCAGGUUGAAGGUUGGGUAACACUAACUGGAGGACCGAACCGACUAAUGUUGAAAAAUUAGCGGAUGACCUGUGGCUGGGGGUGAAAGGCCAAUCAAACCGGGAGAUAGCUGGUUCUCCCCGAAAGCUAUUUAGGUAGCGCCUCGUGAAUUCAUCUCCGGGGGUAGAGCACUGUUUCGGCUAGGGGGCCAUCCCGGCUUACCAACCCGAUGCAAACUGCGAAUACCGGAGAAUGUUAUCACGGGAGACACACGGCGGGUGCUAACGUCCGUCGUGAAGAGGGAAACAACCCAGACCGCCAGCUAAGGUCCCAAAGUCAUAGUUAAGUGGGAAACGAUGUGGGAAGGCCCAGACAGCCAGGAUGUUGGCUUAGAAGCAGCCAUCAUUUAAAGAAAGCGUAAUAGCUCACUGGUCGAGUCGGCCUGCGCGGAAGAUGUAACGGGGCUAAACUAUGCACCGAAGCUGCGGCAGCGACACUAUGUGUUGUUGGGUAGGGGAGCGUUCUGUAAGCCUGUGAAGGUGUGUCGUGAGGCAUGCUGGAGGUAUCAGAAGUGCGAAUGCUGACAUAAGUAACGAUAAAGCGGGUGAAAAGCCCGCUCGCCGGAAGACCAAGGGUUCCUGUCCAACGUUAAUCGGGGCAGGGUGAGUCGACCCC